rnacentral:misc_RNA from 1 species
CACAUGCAAAGUUUCAGCACAAAAUUGAGCUUCCUCAGCCUCUCCACUAGUAAGGAAGAGUGUUUCCUCGUAUUGCUCUUUCAAACCAUUCAACCCCAUUAUUGCACUCUCAGAUGCCUCACGAUAAAUGAAAGAUUGAACUCUAGUGGACCCACUCUCCUCCUGAGAGAUGCCAAAGCCUGGCAAUACAACAUUUCUGUCAUCAGAAGCCUGUUUAUCAUCCAACUUCUUGCCAGGGCACGCUUCAAACACAUCUGCAAUUUGUGAAUCAGAACAAGUGACCUCAGGGAGUACAUCUGUAGCAUCGUUAUCUUGAUCGACAUUCUCCAAACUAGGUUCAUCAAUGUUUUUUGAUAAUUCAGAUAUCUCCACCAAUUUUUCUUCCAGAUCACUCUCAUUUAACAUGAAAGUUUCAACAAGGUCGGCUGCAAUCUCUGCAUGGUCCAAUGAACUUAUCCUUACCACUCCAGCACCAUCAACUCCCCCUUGAUAACCAUCCUCCUUCAUUGACCUUCGUCCGAAAACAAGCCUAGAUACCCUUGACUGGUGGGAAUUACUCCCAGCCACAUCUCCAUUACUUGCAUCAAUCCGAUCACCAGAAUUCAAAUUAUUGCCCUCACAAUUGCAACUUUCGGACUUCAUUGUGCUCCUGAUUUUCUGGGAUCCCUCUUCCAUCUCAUCACUCGAAGAUGAAAGAUACGAUACAGAUUCACCUUCUUCUCCUUCAACCUCUCGAAGAAAGUAAGCUUCGCCUCUUUGAUCAAGAUACAUGUGAAAAUUUGCAUCAUUUCCAUUAACAGUAAUGGUAACCACCUUUUCUCUUGCCUUCAAAACCCCUUGAAAUUUCCCAAACCUGACAUACCAGGGUGAGGACUUGAAGCUCCCAUCUGGCUGCUCAACCACAAUGAUAUCCACAGCUCCACCAAAUGGGUGAAAUGGGCCAGAGACAGUGUACACACCUCGGGUGAUGUAGCUGCCUAGCCUCUCUACAGCAUACAUCUCAAGAAACUUGGAUUUCUUAGAUCACCCAAAACCCAAAUUCUCAAAAUACAAUCAUAACACAAGACUGUGAGGCUCUAUUAGUAUAAACAAAAACCAGUGAACUGGACAAACACCUAAGCCUUGCAGUAUCUCCAAAACUUCAAUUCUUGAAACCCUGUUCGAUUGAUUCGAACAGUGCUCUGCUUGACGACAGUUCUAGAAGUCACAGAUAACUGGAGAUUGAAGAACAAGAAAUUAAGAAGAAGAAGAAGUGAACGGUGAAUAACUGGAGAGAGGUACUAACGACGUCGUGGAAGAGGGGAUUGCCAGGCGGAUUGAAGGGAAAUGGAAGUUAAUAGGCGAUAUAAAAGAGACGUGAAAUGAUCAAAGAUGGAAUGGUGUCUCGUUGGGAACAGCUCAGGUCAUGGAUAGACCAUUUUUUUUUUCUAAUU